GACGAACGCUGUCGGCGUGCUUAACACAUGCAAGUCGAACGGAAAGGCCCUGCUUUUGUGGGGUGCUCGAGUGGCGAACGGGUGAGUAACACGUGAGUAACCUGCCCUUGACUUUGGGAUAACUUCAGGAAACUGGGGCUAAUACCGGAUAGGAGCUCCUGCUGCAUGGUGGGGGUUGGAAAGUUUCGGCGGUUGGGGAUGGACUCGCGGCUUAUCAGCUUGUUGGUGGGGUAGUGGCUUACCAAGGCUUUGACGGGUAGCCGGCCUGAGAGGGUGACCGGCCACAUUGGGACUGAGAUACGGCCCAGACUCCUACGGGAGGCAGCAGUGGGGAAUAUUGCACAAUGGGCGGAAGCCUGAUGCAGCAACGCCGCGUGCGGGAUGACGGCCUUCGGGUUGUAAACCGCUUUCGCCUGUGACGAAGCGUGAGUGACGGUAAUGGGUAAAGAAGCACCGGCUAACUACGUGCCAGCAGCCGCGGUGAUACGUAGGGUGCGAGCGUUGUCCGGAUUUAUUGGGCGUAAAGGGCUCGUAGGUGGUUGAUCGCGUCGGAAGUGUAAUCUUGGGGCUUAACCCUGAGCGUGCUUUCGAUACGGGUUGACUUGAGGAAGGUAGGGGAGAAUGGAAUUUCCUGGUGGAGCGGUGGAAUGCGCAGAUAUCAGGAGGAACACCAGUGGCGAAGGCGGUUCUCUGGGCCUUUCCUGACGCUGAGGAGCGAAAGCGUGGGGAGCGAACAGGCUUAGAUACCCUGGUAGUCCACGCUGUAAACGGUGGGUACUAGGUGUGGGGUCCAUUCCACGGGUUCCGUGCCGUAGCUAACGCUUUAAGUACCCCGCCUGGGGAGUACGGCCGCAAGGCUAAAACUCAAAGGAAUUGACGGGGCCCCGCACAAGCGGCGGAGCAUGCGGAUUAAUUCGAUGCAACGCGUAGAACCUUACCUGGAUUUGACAUGGAUCGGGAGUGCUCAGAGAUGGGUGUGCCUCUUUUGGGGUCGGUUCACAGGUGGUGCAUGCCUGUCGCCAGCUCGUGUCGUGAGAUGUUGGGUUAAGUCCCGCAACGAGCGCAACCCUUGUUCACUGUUGCCAGCACGUUAUGGUGGGGACUCAGUGGAGACCGCCGGGGUCAACUCGGAGGAAGGUGGGGAUGACGUCAAGUCCUCAUGCCCCUUAUGUCCAGGGCUUCACGCAUGCUACAAUGGCUGGUACAGAGAGUGGCGAGCCUGUGAGGGUGAGCGAAUCUCGGAAAGCCGGUCUCAGUUCGGAUUGGGGUCUGCAACUCGACCUCAUGAAGUCGGAGUCGCUAGUAAUCGCAGAUCAGCAACGCUGCGGUGAAUACGUUCCCGGG
rnacentral:rRNA from 1 species